ensembl:lncRNA
CUUUGUUAUUGGGAGAGAGUUACUCAAAGAGAAUUUAGUAUUGGAAGAGCUAAUUCAGUAGUGAAAGUUUAUUUGCUAUUGUACUGGAAGAGGUACUUCAGUAAUGUAAAAGAUAAUUUGGUACUGGAGGACUUGGUUUGGUACUGGAAGAGUUAACUCCUUUAAAGGGACAAGAACCGAAACCGAAACUUAAAUGAGAAACACGUUAAAUAAUUGACGUCUUGUGAAGAACCUGACAAGUGAUGCAGGUGUGUGAGGGAGGAUGGACAGUGGAAGUAUCCUCAUGGAAGAUCAGAAGUGCGAUGAUGUACCUGAAGAGCGAUUGGCCUACGAAGAUGAAGGAAGUUCACCAACAAAGCCUGAGAAAGUUCUUGGUGCAGAAAGUGGUGAGGAAAGAGCUAGCUCUCCGGUCCCCAGUUGCCUGUCCAUGAAGAGUGACUGGUCCAUGGAGCUACCAGUUAACCUAAAGCAAGCGGAUAACACUCCUGAGAAAUGCUAUAUCAAUAUAUCCAUCUCUUCCUUUACCUAUUGGCUCUGAGUCAACAGUUUAUCGUAGCUACAUUAUCAUGUACACAUAUCAUAUAGGUCACAUUGUAGACAUACAAUUACAUAAACCAAUGCAAUGCAAGCAGCGCUGUACAGGAUACACUCACAUCAGCACUGAGGACACUAUCGUGUCUGCAGGAAGAAGUAGGCCAUUUCUUGAUGGCCAUCAAGUUGGUCUAAGGGAAUUACAUUUAGGGCACACUAGGAAGGCGGAAUAUGUUGCUGUCCUUCCACCGGAAAUGGGAUAUACCGGCAUACAGGUUUCUCAGAUGCAGACAAAAGCACAUGGGCCUUUCAGAUGUGGAGAGAAGGUGUAGGGACCAGUUGUGUUUGACAAUCCUCUUCGUUUGUUCAACCUCUUGGGUUGUCUUGCGUCCAUUGCUUACAUGCUUUGCAAGCUUUUCAGUAGUUUCAUUGGGGGGCAAAUCAAAGAUGUCUGGCUGCAGACCCCACUUGUUGCUUCCAUUCUUUGUCAAUGAACUGGUUAAAUCUGUUCG